ACUGCUGAGCCCCCCGGGCCGCCCCCAGCCAGAAGAUUCUUGAUGCUCCUCAUUAUAGCAGAUAGUAAUGCCUAAUUCAAUCUAGGUCUGUAGGAUGGGGUAUUUGUGUGUGGCUAGAGGCAAUCUGAUGGUAGCAGAGAGGAGCAACAAUUGAUGAUUGGAACCUUGUGACAUUUAUUAUGGCACUUUUACUUAUUUUCAGUUUCUUUAUAAGCAUAUCUAAUGUCUCCUGUUACACAGUGAACUCCUUGAGAGCAGGAACCAUCUCCCCCCACUCCCCUUAUUCCUCAGACUCUAUUUCACUUAGUGUUGUGCUUUGCAUAUAUCUGGUAUUCAGUAGUAUAUAAUGAAUUAAAUUACAACAGUUAGGGAUUAUGUUAUUAAUGCUCCUUGGAGAAUAGUGAGUGGUUCAAGUGACUCCCAGAAUGUUCAUUUAAGCCAUCUGUGGAUUCAGUCAUUUUUAAUGCCAAUUAUUGCUUUUUUUUCUGGGUAAUUGAGUGUUUGAGGUCAGAGUGAUCCUGGAAAAUAAGUAAUUCUCUGAAGAGAUGCAUGAGAUCUUUAACAAGUCAAAGAAAAAGAACUCAUUGUCUUCAUGACUUGACCCACCCAGCCUCAACUCUCCUUUUGCUUGCAUAUGUAUGAUGCAGCACCAUUUUGGGGCAGAAUUUUAUAAAGAGGAAGACACUCAAUCCAUUCAGGAGACAGAUGACAUGAUACUGUACAUAGAAAACCCAAAAGACACCACCCCAAGAUUGCCAGAACUCA